rnacentral:rRNA from 1 species
AUUGAACGCUGGCGGCAGGCCUAACACAUGCAAGUCGAGCGAGCGGCGGACGGGUGAGUAAUGUCUGGGAAACUGCCUGAUGGAGGGGGAUAACUACUGGAAACGGUAGCUAAUACCGCAUACCAUCAGAUGUGCCCAGAUGGGAUUAGCUAGUAGGUGGGGUAACGGCUCACCUAGGCGACGAUCCCUAGCUGGUCUGAGAGGAUGACCAGGCAAACGGGAGAUGAGACACGGUCCAGAUGCCUACGGGAGGCGGCAGUGGGGAAGAUUGCACAAUGGGCGCAAGCCUGAUGCAGCCAUGCCGCGUGUGUGAAGAAGGCAAUCGGGUUGUAAAGCACGUUCAGCGGGGAGGCGUUACACGCAUAAGAAGCACCGGCUGAUUCCGUGCCAGCAGCCGCGGUAAUUC